rnacentral:rRNA from 1 species
GUAGGGAAUCUUCCACAAUGGGCGCAAGCCUGAUGGAGCAACGCCGCGUGAGUGAGGAAGGCCUUCGGGUCGUAAAGCUCUGUUGCCAGGGAAGAAUAAGGAUGAGGUAACUGCUCAUCCGAUGACGGUACCUGAGAAGAAAGCCCCGGCUAACUACGUGCCAGCAGCCGCGGUAAUACGUAGGGGGCGAGCGUUGUCCGGAAUUAUUGGGCGUAAAGCGCGCGCAGGCGGUUUCUUAAGUCUGGUGUUUAAGUGCGGGGCUCAACCCCGUGUCGCAUUGGAAACUGGGGAACUGGAGUGCAGAAGAGGAGAGCGGAAUUCCACGUGUAGCGGUGAAAUGCGUAGAGAUGUGGAGGAACACCAGUGGCGAAGGCGGCUCUCUGGUCUGUAACUGACGCUGAGGCGCGAAAGCGUGGGGAGCAAACAGGAUUAGAUACCCUGGUAGUCC